rnacentral:rRNA from 1 species
CCACAAACUUUUAAUUACACCCCAAACGCCCGGGAACUACGAGCAAAGCUUAAAACCCAAAGGACUUGACGGUGCCCCAUAUCCCCCUAGAGGAGCCUGUCCUAUAAUCGAUAACCCCCGUUAAACCUCACCACUUUUAGUCUUUCAGUCUGUAUACCUCCGUCGUCAGCUUACCACGUGAGUGAAGAAUAGUAAGUUCAAUGUCCUACCAUACGUCAAUACGUCAGGUCAAGGUGCAGCUAAUAAAGUGGGAAGAGAUGGGCUACACUCUCUAAUUUAGAGUAUACGAAAGACUACUAUGAAAACUAGUCUAAAGGUGGAUUUAGUAGUAAAAAAAGACCAAAAUGCUUUUUUUAACUAGGCCCUGGGGUGUGUACACACCGCCCGUCACCCUCUUCGCAGCUAUAAUUUAGUAAUUAACAAAAUUUGCACAGUAGAAGAGGUAAGUCGUAACAUGGUAAGUAUACCGGAAGGUGUGCUUGGAAA